CUCCAAUUGUGUGAUGAAGUGCGCAAACAGUUAUAUUUGGUAAAACGAUUAGAGGAAUUGUGGCGUGAAACGUCUUCAACCUGUUCUCAAACUUUCAAUGAGUAUGGCGUCUCGCUUGCUUGAAUGAAACGUAGACAUUGAAUGUGUGCGCCAAAUGAACCAUUUUUGGUAAGCAGAACUAGCGCCAUGGGAUGAACCA
rnacentral:ncRNA from 1 species